rnacentral:lncRNA from 1 species
CACCUGGAGAGGGAGAAGAAGGAGCCGUAGGGCCGGCGUGAGGGCCUGCUGAGGAGGAAGGCGGAGCGGCAUGCUGGCGCUGCUGCUGCAGCCGGGGAUGCUGUGGGUGAUGGCCACCGUGUGUAUGAGCAUGGCCACCAGCGUGCUGAGGAUGACGGCGGCGUUGGCCACGCAACACACCUUCACCUGCAUGGUUCACAUCAGGAAGGGUCACCCUACAGGGACGUGUCUCCUGUCCAACCCUCUUAGCGCCUUCAUGGAGGCUGUAUGCAGCGGCAACACAAAGCCCUUACCAGCAGGAUGUUCUCUCUUUUCUCACUUUCCACCAGGAGAGAGCCUGAAACCAGGAGCUGCUUGGAAAACACGGGAGGAAGAGAGGCAGCAGCUGGGCACAGCUUCCCAUCACCCAUCCCAGAGCCCCUCUAGUGUUCAGGUCUGCCCUCACCAACUCUCCAGCCACAGAAAGAAUAGUGGAUAUGAGGACCCCAAGCCAAAAGAAGACUCCGCUGGCCACAGGAAGGGAGAGGACACUGUUGUUUUCUGCACAGGUCAGUAUGACACCAAAGCACAAGUGGAUGAUGCCGGUGACGAUGUGAAUGGUCUGGGAAAGGACAGAAGAGAGGGGAUCCCCUGUGUGCUGACAAGGAUUAGCAUUGCCAUUAUGUGCGUCCCACCCCGAUCCCAGCAUCAGCAGCACAAUGCCGAGGAGACGUGCCCUACCACGCCACAGACUCACCCCCAGCACUUUGGGCUGUGCUCUCCUGAAGCCACUGACUUGGAAAGAAGACACGGUGGGCUGGAUGGAGCCGGAGGCCAGCUGAGCUGCCCGUGGGUCUGUGUUGGGGAUGACCUCUGUGAUGAUCCGCACGCCGCCAGAUUCUGUCACCGUGGUUGCCAUUACCUGCAGAGGCCCAGGGAUGGGGGUGGGUCUGUGCUUAGUCCAUGAAUGGAGUGCCAUCACCCUGAUGGAGACACCUCACACCCCAUCCUGCACCCCAUGCCCCAUCCUGCGCCCUGUACUUCACUUAGCCUGGCUUGUGCUGCUGCUCCUGGUCCCUUGGGAAGUUUAGGUGGAGUACAAGGGCUGCAGUGCUUGCUGCCCUUUGGUCCGCAGAGGAAGUUUGUUUGCGGAAGUCCUGUCAGGCCCCUCUUGCUCAAUGAGGCAGCUUUGCCAAAUGAAGGAAGAGAGGCUGCAAAAAUAAAUGAAUCUGCCUUGAGUGCCCGCA